rnacentral:misc_RNA from 1 species
GAGUAUGAGCUGGUGUCGUACGGCAAGGACGGCCAGCCCGGCGGCGCCGGCGAGAACGCGGACAUCGUCUACUAGCUAUGUCGCUUCUGCCGAUCGGUCGCCACGGAGAACCCUGUAAAUGUCUCCAUCCGUCACGAGCCGACGAACAGCAGUUUCCGAUGCCCCGGGCGGGCACUGCGGGGGCCGGCCGCGGUGUAAAGUCCUGUGACUUUAAGCACAUAUGGGGCGGGACCGCUGCGGGGUCGCCAAGGACCUCGCCGCCGGUGGAAGCACGAU